UGCAGUCGACGGUUGUAGCAAUACAGCAGUGGCAGACGGGUGAGUAACACGUGGGAACCUACCUAGGGGUACGGAAUAACUCAGGGAAACUUGUGCUAAUACCGUAUACGACCUUCGGGUGAAAGAUUUAUCGCCCCUAGAUGGGCCCGCGUUGGAUUAGCUAGUUGGUGGGGUAAAAGCCUACCAAGGCGACGAUCCAUAGCUGGUCUGAGAGGAUGAUCAGCCACACUGGGACUGAGACACGGCCCAGACUCCUACGGGAGGCAGCAGUAGGGAAUCUUGGACAAUGGGCGAAAGCCUGAUCCAGCCAUGCCGCGUGAGUGAUGAAGGCCUUAGGGUUGUAAAGCUCUUUCGCCAGGGAAGAUAAUGACGGUACCUGGAUAAGAAGCCCCGGCAAACUUCGUGCCAGCAGCCGCGGUAAUACGAAGGGGGCUAGCGUUGUUCGGAAUUACUGGGCGUAAAGCGCACGUAGGCGGUUUUCCAAGUUGGAGGUGAAAUCCCUGGGCUCAACCCGGGAACUGCCUCCAAAACUGGAUGACUCGAGUCCGAGAGAGGUGAGUGGAAUUUCCAGUGUAGAGGUGAAAUUCGUAGAUAUUGGAAAGAACACCAGUGGCGAAGGCGGCUCACUGGCUCGGUACUGACGCUGAGGU
rnacentral:rRNA from 1 species